rnacentral:lncRNA from 1 species
GAGAAAGUCCAGAUGGAAUUGAAAAUAGAUGAGCUCUUGGCUGGGAUGGUAUUAUUGAUGGAUAAUUUGACAGCAUUUAUAAAUACAAUUCUUUGACCCACAAUUCAAACUCUAAGACAUUAUUCUAAAAGUGUUCCUGUACAACUAUGCAAGCUGAUGCUUUUCCAAGCCUUCUACAUCCCACAGCUGGUUAUUAGAAUGUGAUAAUCUUGGAGUCAAUAUAUGGAGGGGAUGCUGAAAAAAAUUCACAGGAGACCAACUCAGUCUACCAGCUAAAUCGGUUUGGAGGCACUGAAAUCUAAUAAAAAACACAUCUGAGUAUCCAAUCCUGGACCCACUGCCAGGAAGAGAAGAGACCUUGAACAGUGAUGGAGGCAGUGAAGGAACUUCGGUAUAAGAGAUUGCAUCCCAUUUCUUCACUGGUCCCACCAAGGUGACCAGCUGUGUGACAAAUCCUCUAGAAUCUGGAGCUGACCCCUGAGGGUGACCACAAUGGAGAGACUGAGGAUUAUCAUCCAGCACCACAUACCAACAGAAUAACGUGUGUCACUGACAUGUGAGUAGAACUGAAACGAAGCAGCCAGUUCGUUGGUCACUGAGAGGUGAGUCAUAAUACCAGGCAGAGUUGUGAAGACAAAGAAAUAGAAGACAAGUCCAUGAUCUCCUAGAGCUUCUCUCUUGGUUUAAGAGACAAGAAAAAGUUACUUGAACACAUAUGAUGAAUGCAAAUCAUGUAAAUGAAUCCUAAAACAUGGUGGGAGCAGUCCCACCAGGAAGUGCAGGAGUGGAGAGGCCCUGACAUCACAGGGGAGCCAUGGUGGGGGCUUCAUGAAGGAGCAAUCUGAGAGGCCUGAAGGCCAGCAAGCAGCCUGAGAAGGGCAUCGCAGCUGUUGGAAGAGAAAGGGCUGGCUGGACAGAGCUCAGCUCGUGCUUGAGGAGGGAGCAAGGAGUCAAGUGUGCUGAUGUCCUGAUUUGGAAAAUACUGAGAUGGUGAGAAACAAAGCUGGCCAGCUGGUGGGGCCACAGCAUGGAGGUCCUCAAAUACUCGGAUGCAGAGUUUGAACCGAUAUUCUUAUCUGUGCUGAAUUACGACUGGUCAAAGUGUACACUACAAAAUUCUUAAUGCUUCAGCAAUCUUUACUAACCACUUUUUUUCUUCUACUUGUAAAGCCAAAGAGGGACAAGAAAGGGCUAGAGGAAUGUCUCUAGAAUCAAAGUCAAGACCUCCAGAUUCUAGUACUACCUGUGUUGCUACUUAAUUAUAUGAACUUGUGCAAAUCUUGUUAUUCAUCUGUAGUUUAACUUUGCAUUUGCAACACGAGAUGGUAAAACCGAUACAUAACUCAGUAUUUCUUUAAAAAAAAAUGGAAACAAUAAAUGCACAAAACCCAAAAGUUAGCAUUUAGGGAUAUCAAGACUACUGUUGUCAUCACUGUGAUUCUGCAAGUUCUCCAGAAAAAUUCACGUUAGGACAUAUAGAUGCAGGGCUACCUUCAGCCAUCCAUCCAUUCAACUCUGCCCCAGGCGCCCAAACUGCACGCUUUGUGGAGCUUAUAUUCUAACGGGGAAGUAUAAUUGGUUGCUAGGGCUGCCAUAGCACUGCAGACUGGGUGGUUUAAAUAACAGAAUUUUAUUUUUUACAAUUCUGGAGGCCAGAAGUUUGAGAUCAAGGUGUCAGCAGGGUUGCUUCAUCUGAGGCCUCUCUCUUGGACUUGUAGAUGGCUGUCUUCCCCUUGUGUCUUCACAUGGUCCUCCCUCUAUGAGUGUAUGUCCAUGUGCUUAUGUGUGUGCUAAUCUCUUCAUAGAAGGACACCAGUCGUAUUGGAAGAGGGGCUACACAUAUGACCUCAUUUUACCCCAAUUCCCUCUCCAAAGGACCUAUCUCCAAACACAGUCACAGUCUGAGGUACUGGGUGUGAGAUCAUAUGAAUUUUUCAGGGACACAAAUUUGGCCCAUAACAGAGAGAUAAAUAAUAAACAAGUAAACAAAUAAGGAAUAAAUGGAAUAACAUGAAGCAGACUUGUGUGAGUGGAAUUGCUAUAGAGCGAAGAAUGCAAACACCACCUGGCUUUGAAAGACAGAGUGGACUGUCCCUGCAGGAGAGCAGCAAUGGAGGUGUCGCAAGAUGAGACAAGCUCUGUGUGUUUGAGACUGAGCAUGCACCAGUUGGAAGGCUUGGUUUGGGUCCCUGCAGCUUAGGGGCACAGUGCAAAAGUGUCUGAACCACUUCUAUCAAAAGGGCCCCUGGCUAGAGCUGCUGAGGGUGUCCAUGCCUCCAGGAGAGUCUGCCUCUGGGAAGUGGCCGGCUUAGAUGGUGUCCUCAGACAGACUGGGGGUGCCUCCCAUCCAUUCCCAAGAGGAGCUCAGCACGGCAGGGCUGAAAGAAGGAAGGGCAUGGCUGCAGGGGAGAAUCCACAAGGAUUUUGAGCAAGAGAACGACAAUGAAAGUCAAAGCUUUCCCGUAAGAAAAUUAAUCUAAUUUUAAUAUCAGAGAUGGAGAGGAGGUGGAUAGGAUCAGCCUCAGAGCCAUCCAAUCAUUAGUUGUUUUUAUAACAAGCAAUUACUGAGCACUGAUUUGUUCUGAGGGCUAAAUAGGAACAGCAAUGUUGGGAAUUGUAUUAGUUUCUCAGGAUGUCAUGAAAAAGUAGUAGACACUGGGUGGCUUAAAAUAACAAAAGUGGAUUCUCUCCUAGUCCUGAUGGCCAGAAGGCUGAUAUCAAGGUGUCGGCAGGACCACACUCCCCCUAGAACCUCUAGGGAAAGAUCGUUCCUUGCAUCUGCCAGCUCUGUGGCUCCAAGCACUCCUUGGUUUGCAGCAGCAUAACUUCCAUGUCUACCUCUGUUUUCAUGAUUGUCUUUCCCCUGGGUCUCUUCUGCUCUUCGUAUAAGAGCUAUCAAGUGGGCUUCAUCCCUGGGAUGCAAGGCUGGUCCAACAUACGCA